AAAGGUCUGAGUCAGCUGCUUAACUCCAGAAACCACCAACUUCAGCCACCGGCCCUGAGAUACCCAUCGAUACCUGUUCACGUUUUAUGUACACAAUAUCGUUUUGAAUCUCCAAGGAAUUCAUCAAGCUUUUACCAGUGAUCUGCUCUCACAGUUGGCACGCUAAUACUUUAUAUAUUUGAGAGAUGAUUUGCAGUUAAAGCGUUUA